AUUUCCAUUUUUAAUUCCUUCAACUGUUUGAUUGUGUUUUCCUGGAAUUCUUUCAGGGAUUUUUGCGAUUCCUCUCUGUAGGCUUCUACUUGUUUAUUAAUGUUUUCCUGUGUUUCCCUAAGUGUGUUCAUGUCUUUCUUGACGUCCUCCAGCAUCAUGAUCAAAUAUGAUUUUGAAACUAGAUCUUGCUUUUCUGGUGUGUUUGGAUAAUCUAUGUUUGUUUUGGUGGGAGAAUUGGGCUCCGAUGAUGGCAUGUAGUCUUGGUUUCUGUUGCUUGGGAUCCUGCGCUUGCCUCUCGCCAUCAGAUUAUCUCUUGUGUUACUUUGUUCUGCUAUUUCUGACAGUGGCUAGACUGUCCUAUAAGCCUGUGUGUCAGGAGUGCUGUAGACCUGUUUUCCUCUCUUUCAGUCAGUUAUGGGGACAGUGUGUUCUGCUUUCGGGCGUGUAGUUUUUCCUCUCUACAGGUCUUCAGGUGUUCCUGUGGGCCUGUGUCUUGAGUUCACCAGGCAGCUUUCUUGCAGCAGAAAAUUUGGUCUUACCUGUGGUCCCGAGGCUCAGGUUCGCUCGUGGGGUGCUGCCCAGGGCUCUCUGCAGCGGCAGCAACCAGGAAGACCUGUGCCGCCCCUUCCGGGAGCUUCAGUGCACCAGGGUUCCAGAUGGUCUUUGGCUUUUUCCUCUGGUGUCCGAGAUGUGUGUGCAGGGAGCAGUCUCUUCUGGUUUCCCAGGCUUGUCUGCCUCUCUGAAGGUUUAGCUCUCCCUCCCACGGGAUUUGGGUGCAGAGAACUGUUUAUCUGGUCUGUUUCUUUCAGGUUCCGGCGGUGUCUCAGGCAGGUGUCCUGCCGCUCCUGGUGAAAUGGAGUCUUAAGAGAAGACGACCAACAACCUAUGCAGUGGUGUGAUUUGGACAUGGAAAGUCCUUCACACGGGCCUGUUUUGCAUCCUUGUUACCCUGCCAUGAACCUACCUAGAAUGAUUGUCCUCUGAGAGGCUCUACCAGCAACUGACUGAGGCAAAUACUCACAAACAUUGGACUAAGGUCAGGACCGCUAUGGAAGAGUUAGGGAAAACACUGAAGGAACUGAAGCAUGGCAGCACCAUAGGAAGACCAACAGCAUUAACUAACCUGGAUCCCUGGGAGUUGCAAGAGACCAAGCCAUCGACCAAAGACCAUACACAGGCUGGUAUUAGCCCGGAGCACAUAUGCAGCAGAAGACUGCCUUGUCUGGCCUCAGUGGAAGAGGAUGCGUCUAAUUCUGUUGAGAUUUGAUGCCCCAAAGAGGGAGGAUGAUCAGGACAGGGUAUCUUCCCAGAGGUGAAGGGGAGGGGGAAUGGAGGGAAGAACUCUUAGGUAAGGUACUAGAACAAGAGCAGCAUUUGGGAU